rnacentral:rRNA from 1 species
CGUAGGGGGCAAGCGUUGUCCGGAAUCAUUGGGCGUAAAGCGCGUGUAGGCGGUUCUAUAAGUCUGCUGUGAAAGUCGGAGGCUCAACCUUCGAAAGCCGGUGGAUACUGUGGAACUAGAGUGCGGAAGAGGCAAGUGGAAUUCCUGGUGUAGCGGUGAAAUGCGCAGAUAUCAGGAGGAACACCAACGGCGAAGGCAGCUUGCUGGGACGUUACUGACGCUGAGACGCGAAAGCGUGAGGAGCAAACAGGAUUAGAUACCCUGGUAGUCCACGCCGUAAACGAUGGUCACUAGAUGUGGGGGUAUCGACUCCCCCCGUGUCGUAGCUAACGCGUUAAGUGACCCGCCUGGGGAGUACGAGCGCAAGCUUA